rnacentral:lncRNA from 1 species
GUCUGCGUGUGUGUGUGCGCGUGUGUGGAGACGCAGCGAGGCUUUCCCACUUGCAUACACAGCGAAAAGAGCCUCCACCAAAACAAAAGGGAUUAUGGCGUUUCAAGGGUGUUGUGUUUGCUGUGUUUAUUCACAUAGCUCAUGGGGCUGCGCAGGACCCGCAAUGAAUGUCAAUGUCAGGGAGCGACAUGCUGCAACACAAGAUAAAUAUGACGAACAAUGAGCGCAGAUUAAGGCUGAGUACGUCACGCCGCAUCGCGCGCAGAUCCCGGGUCUCACGACAUUAAGGCACCCUGGGAAAGCGUGGACGCCAAGAACACGACGGCGGCCGCGCGGCGCAUUAGCGGCGAUCAUCGCGGCCCGAAGCGGAGCGGAGACGAAUGCAUCAGAGAGCGUCCUUCAGGCCUCAGGACCUCAGCAGCUGUGUCAGCAAGCAUCCAGCCUGCAGAGGGGGUCUUUGAUCAACACACGGAGUCCCUACAAGCUGUUUUGCCGCUGACCCUGACCUCUGACCUUUGCGGAGCUCGAAGAACGCAGAGUGUCCCUACUGGGAUCAAUGGGGAACUACAGGAGUUCGCUUUAGUUCUGCUUGACAGUUUUCAACUGAAGACGGAACAGAACUGAGUGAACGCUUCACAUUCUCUGCUGCUCUGAUGGCAACUGCUACAGCAACUGAACUCUAUGUAUGCUAAUCAACAAAUGGACAUCAGAAUAAUAAAAUAAUAAUAAUGUUGUAUGAUACA